rnacentral:rRNA from 1 species
GAUGAACGCUGGCGGCGUGCCUAAUACAUGCAAGUCGAGCGAAUAUACGAGGAACUUGCUCGUCUUACGUUACCGACGGACGAGUGAGUAACACGUGGAUGACCGGUCUAUAAGACUGGGGUAACUUCGCGAAACCGGAGCGAACACACGAGAAUAUAGAGAACAGAAGGGUUCAACAGCGAAAGACGGCUUUGAUGUGACUAAUAGAUGGUUCCGCGCUGCAUUAGCUAGUUGGUAAGGUAACGGCCUACCAAGGCGACGAUGCGUAGCUGACCUGAGAGGGUGAUCGGCCACACUGGAACUGAGACACGGUCCAGACUCCUACGGGAGGCAGCAGUAGGGAAUCUUCCGCAAUGGGCGAAAGCCUGAUGGAGCAACGCCGCGUGAGUGAUGAAGGUCUUCGGAUCGUAAAGCUCUGUUAUUAGGGAAGAAGGACAGUGUAAGUAACUCUGCACGUUUUGACGGUACCUAAUGAGAAAGCCCCGGCUAACUACGUG